GGGGGUGCUGUGUGUGUUGCUGAAAGGUCCCUCUUACUAAUCGUGGGUUGUGUCCUUGCCCAGCACCUGCCUUUUAUCCUGAUUCCCUAAAUAAAGAAUAUGGAACAGGCCUUCUGCUGCUAUGAAUCUUCCCAGGGAAAUCACUGAUGUUUGAUCUCAAGAUAAAGGAAAUUUAAGAGCUCUUCCAGACUGAGAAGAGAACCUUCAGAACUGGAAUCAAUGCAAUUGUCUUCCUGCGUCUGAGUGCCACAGUGCCUAAGUACCUUUAAAAAUCUGGGCCUUAGACACCUGUGAAAACUUAACCACCAACAGAAUACCUAGGAUUAUUUUAGCCCAAACAUCCAGCUGCUCUGGGCCUAUGUUAUCAAAGUUAGGUUCUACGAAUGCAACCCGAGCGAAGCACUAUACUUUUUUUCCCAUCUCAAACCAAGCCCUGC